rnacentral:rRNA from 1 species
GCGGCAGCGGGGGGAAGCUUGCUCUCCCGCGCCGGCGAGCGGCGGACGGGUGAGUAAUGUCUGGGGAUCUGCCUGAUGGAGGGGGAUAACUACUGGAAACGGUAGCUAAUACCGCAUGACGUCGCAAGACCAAAGUGGGGGACCUUCGGGCCUCACGCCAUCGGAUGAACCCAGAUGGGAUUAGCUGGUAGGUGGGGUAACGGCUCACCUAGGCGACGAUCCCUAGCUGGUCUGAGAGGAUGACCAGCCACACUGGAACUGAGACACGGUCCAGACUCCUACGGGAGGCAGCAGUGGGGAAUAUUGCACAAUGGGGGAAACCCUGAUGCAGCCAUGCCGCGUGUGUGAAGAAGGCCUUCGGGUUGUAAAGCACUUUCAGCGGGGAGGAAGGGAGCAGGGUUAAUAACCUUGUUCAUUGACGUUACCCGCAGAAGAAGCACCGGCUAACUCCGUGCCAGCAGCCGCGGUAAUACGGAGGGUGCAAGCGUUAAUCGGAAUGACUGGGCGUAAAGCGCACGCAGGCGGUCUGUUAAGUUGGAUGUGAAAUCCCCGGGCUUAACCUGGGAACUGCAUUCAAAACUGACAGGCUAGAGUCUCGUAGAGGGGGGUAGAAUUNCCAGGUGUAGCGGUGAAAUGCGUAGAGAUCUGGAGGAAUACCGGUGGCGAAGGCGGCCCCCUGGACGAAGACUGACGCUCAGGUGCGAAAGCGUGGGGGAGCAAACAGGAUUAGAUACCCUGGUAGUCCACGCUGUAAACGAUGUCGAUUUGGAGGUUGUGCCCUUGAGGCGUGGCUUCCGGAGCUAACGCGUUAAAUCGACCGCCUGGGGAGUACGGCCGCAAGGUUAAAACUCAAAUGAAUUGACGGGGGCCCGCACAAGCGGUGGAGCAUGUGGUUUAAUUCGAUGCAACGCGAAGAACCUUACCUACUCUUGACAUCCAGAGAAGACUGCAGAGAUGCGGUUGUGCCUUCGGGAGCUCUGAGACAGGUGCUGCAUGGCUGUCGUCAGCUCGUGUUGUGAAAUGUUGGGUUAAGUCCCGCAACGAGCGCAACCCUUAUCCUCUGUUGCCAGCACGUUAUGGUGGGAACUCAGGGGAGACUGCCGGUGAUAAACCGGAGGAAGGUGGGGAUGACGUCAAGUCAUCAUGGCCCUUACGAGUAGGGCUACACACGUGCUACAAUGGCGCAUACAAAGAGAAGCGACCUCGCGAGAGCAAGCGGACCUCAUAAAGUGCGUCGUAGUCCGGAUUGGAGUCUGCAACUCGACUCCAUGAAGUCGGAAUCGCUAGUAAUCGUAGAUCAGAAUGCUACGGUGAAUACGUUCCCGGGCCUUGUACACACCGCCCGUCACACCAUGGGAGUGGGUUGCAAAAGAAGUAGGUAGCUUAACCUUCGGGAGGGCGCUUACCACUUUGUGAUUCAUGACUGGGGNGAAGUC